rnacentral:rRNA from 1 species
ACGAACUGUGCAAACGUUAUUCGGAAUUACUGGGCGUAAAGGGCGCGUAGGCGGCCCACUAAGUCAGACGUGAAAUCCCCCGGCUUAACCUGGGAACUGCGUCUGAUACUGGAGGGCUUGAGUAUGGGAGAGGGAUGUAGAAUUCCAGGUGUAGCGGUGAAAUGCGUAGAUAUCUGGAGGAAUACCGGUGGCGAAGGCGGCAUCCUGGACCAUUACUGACGCUGAGGCGCGAAAGCUAGGGGAGCAAACGGGA